rnacentral:rRNA from 1 species
UACGGGGGGGGCAAGCGUUGUUCGGAAUUACUGGGCGUAAAGGGCGCGUAGGCGGCCUACUAAGUCGGACGUGAAAUCCCUCGGCUCAACCGAGGAACUGCGUCCGAUACUGGUGGGCUUGAAUCCGGGAGAGGGAUGUGGAAUUCCAGGUGUAGCGGUGAAAUGCGUAGAUAUCUGGAGGAACACCGGUGGCGAAGGCGGCAUCCUGGACCGGUAUUGACGCUGAGGAGCGAAAGCCAGGGGAGCAAACGGG